rnacentral:tRNA from 1 species
GCCUUUGUAGCUCAGAGGUAGAGCACUUCCUUGGUAAGGAAGNNGUUCAAUUCCCGGCAAAGGCUCCA